GAGUUUGAUCCUGGCUCACGAUGAACGCUGGCGGUAUGCCUAACACAUGCAAGUCGAACGGAAUCGCAAGAUUCAGUGGCGGACGGGUGAGUAACGCGUGAGAAUCUGCCUCUAGGAUGGGGACAACAGUUGGAAACGACUGCUAAUACCCAAUGAGCCUGAUGGUGAAAGAUUUAUCGCCUAGAGAGGAGCUCGCGUCCGAUUAGCUAGUUGGUGGGGUAAAAGCUUACCAAGGCAGCGAUCGGUAGCUGGUCUGAGAGGAUGAGCAGCCACACUGGGACUGAGACACGGCCCAGACUCCUACGGGAGGCAGCAGUGGGGAAUUUUCCGCAAUGGGCGAAAGCCUGACGGAGCAAUACCGCGUGAGGGAGGAAGGCUUUUGGGUUGUAAACCUCUUUUCUCAAGGAAGAACACAAUGACGGUACUUGAGGAAUCAGCAUCGGCUAACUCCGUGCCAGCAGCCGCGGUAAUACGGAGGAUGCAAGCGUUAUCCGGAAUUAUUGGGCGUAAAGCGUCCGCAGGUGGUUAUUCAAGUCUGCUGUCAAAGACCACAGCUUAACUGUGGGCAGGCAGUGGAAACUGGGUAACUAGAGUACGGUAGGGGUAGAGGGAAUUUCCAGUGUAGCGGUGAAAUGCGUAGAGAU
rnacentral:rRNA from 1 species